UCAUCAAGCAUUUAAUGAAGGUACAAUUGUUUCAAGAGAAUCAAAUAUCAAAUAAUAAAAUAGUUUAAUAUAUCAAUAAUCAAAAUCUCAAAUGUCAAGAAUCUUUCCAAAGCUAAUUCAAAAAGGUCCACCGAUUAGUUAAUUGAAUAGUGAGCUAUGUAUCAAAUGUGAGUGCAAGAAGUAAAUUCAAGAUAUUAAUAUUUCAAAUAUCAAGUGUCAAGAAAGCUUUCGAAGCUAACUCAUGCAACGUCAUUCAAUUAGUUAAUUUAAUAGUGAGCUACGUAUCAAAAAUGAGUCCAAGAACUAAAUUCAAGGAAUAGACUUAUCAAAGUAAGCUAUACAAUAUUCAAGAGAAUCAAAUAUCAACCCAACAAGUAAUUCCAAAUAACAAUAUUCAUAUCUCUAGUGUCAAGAAAGCUUCCCAAGCUAAUUCGAGAAAGUCAUUCAGUUAGUUAAUUUCGCCCAACACAUACAUCAUGCCAUCACAUCAAGCAUAAUCAAAUAACAAGAAGGACCGAAGCCCAAAUCAAGAAGGGUCGUCACCCAAUAAUCAAGAGAAUCAUGAGUCAUGUUGAAAGUGGCUUUCCACUCAUACUCGAGAAUGGACAAAAGUUCAUCAUCAAGACAAAAUGUAAAUCCAAAGUCAAGAUGGGCAAGAUCCGAAAUCAAGAAGGAUCGUCACCCAAUAAUCAAGAGAAUCAAGGGCCAUGUUGAGAGUGGCUUUCCACUCAUACUCGAAAAUGGACAAAAGUCCAUCGUCAAGAUGAAAUGUAAAUCCAAAGUCAAGAUGGGAAAGAUCCGAACAAUACCAUGAGGUAUGUCAUUAUAAGUGACAAUGUCACUAUCACAAGAAGGACAAUGUCCCGGCAAGAAUGCAAUAAUGCUCAAGCAAUCCGUAUAUGUGGGCGAAUUAAGUCGUUUUACAAAAAUACUUCAGAUAACACCAAUGUGAUUUUAACAUAUCAUAACUCAAUUACAAAAUUAUACCGUCAAUGAUAACGUUAUCAUAUUGAAGUGUCUAAAGAUAUUCUUUCUCAACCAACAAAGCAAGUAAACUAUUAAAGUAGCAACAAAAUCAAUAUGACAAAAAUUUAAAGUAGAUACUAUUUCACCAAAUAUCAAGCUUCUCACAAUAUCUCAAACAAAAUAAAUUGAAAGAAAAAUUCAAAUUUAGGUGCAAACCCAAGAGCUUUAGUGCUUCUAAAGCUUAAACAAACAUCAAUAAGUUAUAAAUCCCCAAAGCCACGAUCAAAUAAAUAUGUCGACUUCCUUAGCUAAUUUCCCUUAGCUUGUACAAGAGUAUAUAUACACCUUAAAUACACGAUCAAAUAUCUAUUUAAGUUUAAUUGUUUCAGCACGUCGAAACUAAACAUGAUAUCAAUGAAAAUCACCCUGAACUAUCAAAACGGAAAUUCUAGACAGUACUACGGUCUUGUAUUAUGGCUCAGUUUCAAAUGGGUAAACGGCAAAAAUAGACUUUGUGGUCUUAAUGAAAGUCGUAAAUAUAUGUCUUAGGGUUCUAGAGAAAUUUAAAUCGCCCCAAUAUCAAUUUUGUACAAAAAUAAAUGCUCAAAAUACUAACAGUAGUACAUGGAGGGUUUGUAAAACAUAAAUCUGGGCAGCACCUGCCCUGUACUUCAUCACCUCUUUUCGAGUAAAUACAAACAAAACUAGGUUUUAGAGCCUAAACAAAAGUUGUAGAUCUAUGAAAUAGCUUUCCAAAUCAUCUUGGCUCACUUAAAACUAAAUUUUAUACAAGGAGAUAUGCUGCAAAUACUAACAACUGCCCAGUUCAAAAACAGGUUUGAUAAACUUACCUCAAAAGUGUGGAGUAGCUUGUGGCUCAACCAAAACAAGUCUUGUUGGUGAUUCAGUGGGAGAAUUUGAUGAGAGGAGAGGAGUUUUGGGGUCUCCUUUUUCUAGAGAAAACCAAAUUUGAGGAGGUGGAGAGAUAUGAGCCCAAAGGUAUUAUAUAUUCCUUGGAUGAGGAUUGAAAGAAAAGGUGGCUGCCCAACUUUUAUGUUUGGAUAAAUAUGAAAGGGUGGCUACCCAAAAUAUUAAAUAUCUAUUUCAUUUCUUAAUUUACUAAGAUAAUAAUAGUAGGAGUAGUUUACAUAACUACACCAUAACACUUCAACAAGUUCCAAAUAUCAUGAAAUUCACGUUCAGGAAGUGCGAAGUAAAAUAUACCCUUACUAUCAAAAUAUGAUCAAUUGAAAAUUCAAGAGAUAGUUUAGAAAAAAAAUUCAGGCUGUUACAUUGGCACUUUGUUUUCACAUUAUUAAAGUAUGGAUGAUUUUCCAUGUUGUGUGUUUCAACUCGAGCUCUUCUAUAGUUGUUAGCUAAUUUUCCGUGAGAGAGUAGUAGAAAAGAAGUCAAAUCAACACUUCCUUUUGGCAUUAAUGAAAAAUAUAAUUACUAUAGUGUGCAACAACUUUCAGUUUCCUUCGGUUCAAGAGAUUUUAUUUGGACUUCCAUACAGUAGUGUAUUAUGACUUGGAAUAGAAAAUUUCUUUUUUUUUUUAAAAUGAUUUUGUAUUCAUAUCUUCAUUUCUACUGUGACAUUUUAGUGUUGAUGAGAUUACUCAUUAUGUGGAUAAACACAUAAUUUGAUAUAUAAGGAGACUACAUUAAUCAAUAAUGUAGUGCACAUUUAGUGACCAGAAAUGGUGGUUCUUACCGCCAUUUUGGGAAUUUUGAGUUGUCUCGAAAGUACUUUCUAUUUGUCUCUGAGUACACUUAUCGACUUUGACAAGAAAAGAAAUAGUUUCAUUCCUGUCGCUGCAGCUUCAAAAACAAAAACAUGUGGUGUAUGUGUCGACGAUUUCUUCUCAUCUAAAGUUAUCGGAGAUAGAGAUCAUGGACUGUUGGAUCUUUACUCCACAAGAUGUUUUCAACAUUGAAAAUUAGGUUUAUUCAUAUUCGAAAUUUCCAUGUUACAGAGCUGUUUUUCUCUAUCUUGGUUCCAAUUAGUCAAUGAUAUGUGCUGUAUUUUUAAAUUUUGGUGUAAGUUUUUCUCCAUCUUUCUUCGUUUAUUGCACCCCCGUUAUUGAUAAUAAGAGGUGGUAUCUGUAGGUUUGUUAAUUUCUGAUAAUUUCUUGUUAGUAUAUCAAAUUUUGCUUGCAUAUUUGAAAAUAGAUAACUAGAAUCAUGAUAUUGGAUAUUUAACAAAUAUGAAGCAGCUAUUUUUUUUUUCUUUGGGUAAUCAAACUUAAUCCCUUUUUCCUCUUCAAUUAAUAAAAUCGCGACGGAUUAUACCUUGAAUUUUCGUGAUGUUUUGCCAUUUUUCACUCUGUUGGCCUGUCAAGUUGUCCUUUUGUGACUGAAUAUCAAGUUGCAAUGUUUGAUAUCUUGGUCUUGCAAACAAAAGGUAGAGCUAAUGGGAAAAAAUCUCCACAGUAGACGACAUAUUAGGUGCUUAGGUUCCAGAAAAACAAUGUUAUAUGAAAUAACUAUAAAAACAAUUUCCACCAGGUUAUCAUCCACUUAAAAGAGGUCGUUUUGUUUGAUAAAUUUUGUUCUGUGUGUAAACUUUUGAGUUUGAUAAGUAUUUUCAAAUGGUGAACAUGUGUUCUUCUUGCUUGUUUUUAAUUUUUGUCUUUCCUUCCUAGCAAAGUGGAUUUUUAAUGGUGAGAAUCUUCUCCUCUCCUUUUCAAUUUCUUUCUGUGAGUACUUUGCGAAAUAUGUACGUCAUAUAAUAACUACUCUAUUGGAUCAUUGUGCGCACUGAUGCACGACACUAUUGGAGGAAUAAACUUUUUGGUUACUUAACACCCAUUGUACUUUGUUACUGUAAGUGAUUCAACUUAUCUCCUUGCAUUAGCGAUUCAAUCAGCCAACUCAGUGGAAUGGCCAUUUCAUACAUAGCAUUCUGUUAAUAAAUUGAAUGUAGCUGCUUGUCAUAUAUUAAAUUAGCACUGCUUGAUAUAUGGUUUUUAGGACUGAAAGCACAAACAUUAGAAAAAUGAAAUUAGACCUAUUUAUUUUAUGGUUACUAAUAAUCGGACUAACCGUUAAAAUCACACCAGUAGCUUCAAUAUAGAUUCUUCUUCAUUAUAUCAAUCUGUUGCAUGCUUUGUUGUUGUAAAAAAAGAUAAGAAUGGUAUAAAUUCCUUCUUCAUGUCUUAAUAUCUAUUUCUUUCUCAAAAAGCUAUUUAUUUCUUUAAGAAGUACCUGGUACUGAAUGACCAUUUUAACUUUAUAAUCAAUUGAGAUGAAAUUUUAGGAGAUUAAUAUUGUUGUUUAGUGAUCUUGAACUUAAUGCCACUAUUUCAUCUUUCGUGACAGCUUGUGGGUGAUUCUGAGACAGGUUUGAGAUCAAUUACCUGAUCAGCAUAAAGUCCUUCAGUGAUUCGAGAGGUAUCUAUGUCAUGAAGUACUAAGUUAUUCAGGGAAAGGUUUAUUGUUGAGCUCAACUCAUGAUUCAAUACUGAUGGUUAUUCUGAAUUUGACAAAGACACUAGCUGUGGCUGUUUAAUUGUUGCAGAGUAGCUUCAAAGCUCGUGAAGUUGUAGUAGCUGUGUGUAAUGAACAACUCAAUAAUCACAUUGAUAUAGAGAACAACUUUUGAAUAGUGCUACUUUUGUAGAAUCAUGGCGACGGAAGUGACUACGUUGCUUUCUGGAACUUGGAAAUGCAAAGUUGGGGUAGAUCUAAAUCACGAGUCUGGACAGUAUAUUAUAUGGGAAACCCAUCUAUGUGACGUUGAAGUUAUGAAUCGAAGGAUUCUCCUUCAUUCCGUGGGUGGUGUGAAGCUGAGAUAGAUUUCUAUUUCGAUGAAGCUAGCAAGAUAAUCUUAUGUUUCUGCUUCUGCUCAACUCUUCACUUAUAUUUUCAUGCAGAAGUGGGCUAAGAUGGAGUAGUAGCAUGCAAGGAAUGACAGUUUGGCCAUCACUGUCACUUUAAGGGGAUAUUACAAAUUACCGGACAAAGAACACCUAGAAGAGUGCGCUCAGAUGGAAACUUAGUGGAAAGGUGGAAGUAGGUGACUGUGAGAACAGUUCUAACUGAUAUUUUCUUUUCUGGAGUUUGUUUUAUGGGAGUAGUGAGGUGCCCAUCUUCAGAUCUCAACUAACUAAGACCACCUAUCUUGUGGUGGUCAGGUUGAGAAGCUGUACACAAAUCAAGAAGACAAUCCUAAUAUUGAAUUUGUGUUAGCACAAGUGAAGUUUCUUUUGUAACAAAUGCUAAGCUGCAAUUGUCAGGGAAUCAGCUUAUCGAAGUGAACAUGAACAAUUAACCCUUUCUUUUUACCUUCUCAUUAGCAAGCUCAAGAGUGUAAUUAUACAAUUUUAUUCUUCAA